GAUGAACGCUGGCGGCGUGCCUAAUACAUGCAAGUCGAGCGAACAGACGAGGAGCUUGCUCCUCUGACGUUAGCGGCGGACGGGUGAGUAACACGUGGAUAACCUACCUAUAAGACUGGGAUAACUUCGGGAAACCGGAGCUAAUACCGGAUAACAUGUUGAACCGCAUGGUUCAAUAGUGAAAGACGGCCUUGCUGUCACUUAUAGAUGGAUCUGCGCCGCAUUAGCUAGUUGGUAAGGUAACGGCUUACCAAGGCAACGAUGCGUAGCCGACCUGAGAGGGUGAUCGGCCACACUGGAACUGAGACACGGUCCAGACUCCUACGGGAGGCAGCAGUAGGGAAUCUUCCGCAAUGGGCGAAAGCCUGACGGAGCAACGCCGCGUGAGUGAUGAAGGUCUUCGGAUCGUAAAACUCUGUUAUUAGGGAAGAACAAAUGUGUAAGUAACUAUGCACGUCUUGACGGUACCUAAUCAGAAAGCCACGGCUAACUACGUG
rnacentral:rRNA from 1 species